rnacentral:rRNA from 1 species
UACAGAGGUCUCAAGCGUUGUUCGGAUUCAUUGGGCGUAAAGGGUGCGUAGGCGGCGCGGUAAGUCGGGUGUGAAAUCUCGGAGCUUAACUCCGAAACUGCAUUCGAUACUGCCGUGCUUUGAGGACUGGAGAGGAGACUGGGAAUUUACGGUGUAGCGGUGAAAUGCGUAGAAUAUCGUAAGGAAGACCAGUGGCGAAGGCGGG